CUGUUGCUCUCUGUCCGCCAUGCACUUCUUCGAUCUUCCCACAAAUGUGGCCACUACUGCUUAGCAACCAGGGGAACAUGACAGCAGACAGCAAAAUCCUCUCCCCAUAGCUCACCCUGUUCCAUCUCCACAUCAUAAAGUAUCUUUCAUAGCCAAUUAAGAGGAAUGCAUGUUGCGUGGCCACAGAGAGACUGAGUGGGACCUCAGGGGUGGCAUGGGCUGAGCUGGAGUCUCUGCUAGGUGCAUGCAUGGAGAGCAAAUUCAACAAACUGAUGACUGAAAGACCCCGAUAUAUGUGGGUAUAACAGCUCCCCAAAGGCUUAUGGCAACUAAUAUUUGAAAAGAACAGGGAAAAGGAGGAGAAAAAAGGGAGAGAAGGGAAGGAAGAGAAAGAAAGAAGAAAAGAAAGAGCUGAAUAUCAAGGCGAUGGGGAACAGAAGAGCUUUAUGCCGCGGCAUAAAGCCCUCAGCACUCCAGCCGCCCAAACCGCCAAGACCGGAGGGGAGGGCCAAGAGAUCGCGAGCAGCACCAAGAGAGCAAAGUCCAGACGAAACCCCGCUAAGCAGCCGGGAAAGCAGCUACUCACUCACUUCUCCCAUGCCACAGCAGUCCUUGUUAAUGCCAGUCAUGAAAUACUGCUGUCUAAGGAGCUGCUUCACUGGUGCCUCUGCAGUAAGCCAAGAUCAGCAUCAUUCCCAAUGCUUACAAACAGUCAUCGCAGAGACUGCAGCAAGCCUUGCGCAAAGUCAGCUGCUCUACAGAGCCAAAGAAGUCCCUGCUACAGAACCUUCCUCAUCCCCUGAGCAACGGGAUUGAAACAUUGUCCUCGAGAGCUAAGGUCACCAAAAAGGAGAAGUCUGAACUUAGACCUGUCUAUACAGCCAGCAGCUCUGAUCUUCGUUGAGCAGCCAACUGAUAACCACAAGCCACUAUUCCACAGGCAUCAUCAAUGUAAUUCAACUUUUUUUUGUUGUGCAGAUUGCAGUGCUGUGAAGGCACACUGCAUAGCAUUCUGUUGCUAUAUUCUUGAGAAACAUAUAUUGGACUUUAUUCUAGAUUCACACAAUAACCUCCCAGAGGCCACAGAAACACCUACACUGAACAUCAGACAGGCAAUAUGUGCAUGUGCAUGCAAGUUUUUACUGUUUGCUUUUGUCAGUAUACCCUUCUUUGUCAAGAUGAUUCCCAACUUCAGAUCAAUAUUCCCAGCUGUAUAAGCCAGUGGAAAAGCUGUUUCCUGGACUGCAUAUGCCAGGGGAGUCCAAUCGUCACCAGGUCCAUGGCUACAUCUAAUUUCAAUUAAGCAGUACAAAUUGCUGGAGCCAUGAUAACCCUUAACAGAAAGGAGUUCCCUACUCAGAGCACAUAAAUGCAUUGAGAUGACGUAUCACUGCACUCAGAGAAGCACAGUUACCAGACAUGUUGUGGUCACUUGUAUGAUCCCAAAUUCUGCAUGUAACAUAGAAAACACACAUACUGUCUGU
ensembl:lncRNA